GUUUGAUGGUAGAGCAUGGUGUUUGCAACGCCAGGGUUGUGGGUUCAAUUCCCAC
rnacentral:tRNA from 1 species